rnacentral:rRNA from 1 species
AUUGAACGCUGGCGGCAGGCCUAACACAUGCCAGUCGAGCGGAUGCAGGGAGCUUGCUCCUGGAUUCAGCGGCGGACGGGUGAGUAAUGCCUAGGAAUCUGCCUGGUAGUGGGGGAUAACGUCCGGAAACGGGCGCUAAUACCGCAUACGUCCUGAGGGAGAAAGUGGGGGAUCUUCGGACCUCACGCUAUCAGAUGAGCCUAGGUCGGAUUAGCUAGUUGGUGGGGUAAAGGCCUACCAAGGCGACGAUCCGUAACUGGUCUGAGAGGAUGAUCAGUCACACUGGAACUGAGACACGGUCCAGACUCCUACGGGAGGCAGCAGUGGGGAAUAUUGGACAAUGGGCGAAAGCCUGAUCCAGCCAUGCCGCGUGUGUGAAGAAGGUCUUCGGAUUGUAAAGCACUUUAAGUUGGGAGGAAGGGCAGUAAGUUAAUACCUUGCUGUUUUGACGUUACCAACAGAAUAAGCACCGGCUAACUUCGUG